rnacentral:rRNA from 1 species
AUGCGCCCAUUCUCCUCAAGCCUCUUCAAUUCUUCAUCGCCGCCGGAAGGAGGGAUGGUUGCCGACGCUCCCGACUGGAUCUACCCAUGGCUCCGGCGGCUGCGCGCUCCUCAGGGUCACCUCCUCGGGCUCCAGCCUGGUGGUGAGGAGGAAACGGCCCCGGGUCCCAGGUGUGUGGGUGACCUACAGAGAAAGGGGCGAGCGGUGACGGCAUGA